CCUACGGGAGGCAGCAGUGGGGAAUAUUGCACAAUGGGGGAAACCCUGAUGCAGCAACGCCGCGUGAGUGAGGAAGUAUUUCGGUAUGUAAAGCUCUAUCUGCAGGGAAGCGAAAAGAAGGUACCUGAAAUAGAAGCCCCGGCUAACUACGUGCCAGCAGCCGCGGUACUACGUAGGGGGCAAGCGUUAUCCGGAUUUACUGGGUGUAAAGGGAGCGUAGACGGGAAGGCAAAUCAGAAGGGAAAACCCAAGGCUCAACCAUGGGACUGCUUUUGAAACUGGCAAACUAGAGUACGGGAGAGGUAAGAGGAAUUCCUAGUGUAGCGGUGAAAUGCGUAGAUAUUAGGAGGAACACCGAUGGCGAAGGCAUCUUACUGGACCGAAACUGACGUUGAGGCUCGAAAGCGUGGGGAGCGAACAGGAUUAGAUACCCGGGUAGUC
rnacentral:rRNA from 1 species